AGUAAGUCUGGAUGCCACAUCAAACUGUUUGUGGUACUUCUAAACUUCGUGGAAGAGCCCUGUUUCAUAAAUCUGAGACAGCCUUGGUCUGAGGGAGCAAAGACAGAGAAUUCACGUGCUGCCCAGGCAUAGCCACAUAGCAGGUGGACAUCCCUGGACACUUUUCUGAGAUUUUAUGUCAUAGACCCUCAUUGGAUUUUCCUGGAAGUACGGAGAGUUACAUCCAGAGAACUCUGAACAUUUUGGAAGGACCCCAAUCCUGCAAACAAUGAAUGGCAAUAAAUCCUGGGACUGGAAAGGUUUAAUGAAGCCAGCUGUCAUGUUGAUGAGACUCAUGUGUCAAGGAACUGAAGAUGGUCCAUAGCCAACAGCCAGCCAGGAACUGAUUGGCUAGUAGUCCUUGAGGAACUGAAUCUCACCAACAACCAUAUAGUGAACUUGCAAAUGGUGCUUCCUCAGUUGAAACUAAAGAUGAGACUGAAGUCCUAGUUAACACUUUGUUUGCCACCUUGUAAGAUUGUGAAACAGAGGCCUGAGCUAAGCCAUGCCCAGAUUCUUGAUCCACAGAAACUGUGAGAUAAUAAAUGUGCAUUGAUUUAAGCCUCAGAUUUUGUGGUAAUGCUUUACAAAGCAAUAAGUAACUAAUGCAGUAUUCAACAAAUUUUUUGAAAAAAAAAAGAUGCUUGAAGACCUGUAUUUAAUUAUUUUUGUGAAGAAUACUCAAUGUAUACUGACUGCACCUGGGUUUUUAGUCUUAACCAAAUCAUAUACCAGUUUUAUGACCUGGCAAAAAUGUUUUUCUCUCUCUCUAGAGGUCACUUUCUUCAUCUGUUAAACGAGGUAAUUAAUUUAGAUGAUCUUUAAAAUGUCCACUAGAUUUCAUACAUCUAUCACAUAUGAUUUCAUGUAUAUGUAAUGAAAACAAAUUUUAUAUAUAUACAAAAUUUAUUUUCACUUGCAUUUAUGAAACAGGAGAAACAAAAUAAAAUUACAUUUAUUUAUUUUAAUUUAAUCUUGAAAGUAAAUUCAUGUUAUCUUCUAAAAAUGUUUCAGUUUACAAUUCAUCCAUAUUAACUUUAAUAAAAUGAUAUUUGGU
rnacentral:lncRNA from 1 species